rnacentral:misc_RNA from 1 species
GAUCGCGAGGGGCGUCUUGAGACCGUGAGCCAAGUUUCCCGCCUGCGCCCGCGCCCGGAUCAUUAGCUCGGUCAUCGACCUCAGCAUGGCAUUCAACUCGUCGACCAAGGGCUGCACCUCCUGCGGGAAGUUGCCUUGCAAUUUCUUUUCGCUUCCGGACCGUACCCUGUUCAGGGCAGUACGAAGAUAGUUCAAGGGNNNNNNNNNNNNGUCCGCUCGCGGCAAUGAUCAUCGAACCGGCGAAGGCGCCCAUCGACCAGGCCAGCGUGCUGUU